GUAGACCUUAGGCGAGGGAAGGCAUGUACUUUCCCUAAGAAGCGGGAGGAGAGAAAUAAAUAGAGGGCAGUGGGAUGAGAAGAACCUCGCGGGAUGGGAAGCCGCGGAGGGAAGGGCCGUCUUUGGUUACCUGGAGAGCGGGAGCAGCUGCGGAUCCCUUAUGAAGUGCCCGGAUGAAGCUCCAGCGCUCACGCGCUUUCCGCAUUGAGUGCAGCGCCAUCUUGAGAAGGGCGGAGCCGUCUUGUUCGGAAUGACGUCUGUUCAGAGAGCCAAUCCCAGUCUCGCGACUCCUGCUUGCGGGGCGCGGCCUGGGCCUCCAGGCUGCGCAGCGCAGCCGCUAUCAGGCGGAGUGCAGUUCUUGCCGAGCAGGUGAGCAGGAGAGUCAGUCUAAGAAGGAAAUGUGAUGAUGGAAACAGAGGUUGGAAGAUGGAAGGGGACCCAGAGUCAAGGAAUGCAGGUAGAAAAGAAAAGCCUGGAUUCUCCCCUAAAGCCUCCAGAUGGAACACAGCCUUGCCUCCACCUUGAUUUCAGGACUUCUUACCCCAAGAAUCUCACCCGGGAGGAACCAUCUAUCAUCCUGCCUUGAAGGUAGUUUCUGCUGGAUCUGGUCAGACCUUUGUAUGAUGGAUUUUGGAAACACAGUGGAAGGAUGUUCGCUCAUUGCCCCCAUUUGCCACUAUAGGACUAUGCGCCUCCCUUUUAUUUACUCAAUUUGCUUUUAUCCUGAUCUAUUAUGUUGUUGUAGACCCAGUUCCAGUUGUUACAAUACUGGGUUAUCAGUUCUAAGGCCCUGGCAAGGGUGGUGUGGAACAGGUCCCACAUAACUGCCCAUGUCGAGAGCUGUAUGCCUAAAUUGGGAGGGACACCAGGGACAAGACUCCCUGGGUUCAUAGCCUAGGGGCCUAAGGUCGCAGCGUAGAGCUUCCUUAGAUCCCUUUGGAGAUACUAAUACUUGGGAGAGGAAGUGAAAGUCUGAAGCAUUAGUAUCUAGGAGGCAGGGAUCAGAGGAAGUAGAUUCAGAGGUAAGGAGAAUUUUGGGGCUACACUUUCAAGAAAGUUGUGGUCAGGACCCAGGAGGUAUGGGUCAGAAGGAAAGGUAGAGGCACACGCACGGGUGACUGUUGAGUAGGGACUUCUGGCUGCGCCAUGAUCUCAACCGGCUAAUGCCGGGAGUUUGGGAUGACAGCUUUCUGCCUCUAGUCGGCCCCUGGCUUCCCCAGGGAAAUUGAAAGUGGAAGCUGGUUCCAGGCAGACCAGCGCUUCCAACCCAGAAGGGUUGGGGGUUAUUAGAAAGCCCUUCCCCAGACAGCCUCACACUUGAGUCUUAAGUCUGGUGGCCGCCCUAUCGUUUUUAACUGUCCGACAGGUGCCCGGUAUUUUCCUCCAAUUCUAAGGAAGGAUAGAACAGAAUAGCAAGCGAAAGCACUUUGGAAGUCCCUUCAUGAUUGCCAAAAUGUUACCAGGGAGUCCUUGUUCUUAGAGCUCCCAAGAUGAUGGCGGGCCGCUUCCAUGAUGGCGGCAAGCCUCUUGUUCUCUGACCUGGGGUUCUUCGCCUCACGGAUACUAAGGAAUGGAAUCUUGGGCCAUGCGUUGAGUGUUAUAGCUCUGUUCAGCCCAAUUAGGAUGAACCCCAGGCACUUAGCCCGCGCAGGAACAAUGGCAAGCCUCUAGCCCGAUUGGGAGCAGCAAUGGACACUGCCUCGCUGGAUCAGAAGUGCAGCAGAUCCACCCCUGCCGGAUCCAGAGGGUUGGAAGUCAGCUGCGGGUCUGCAAUGACGGCAAACAGUGGUGGACGGCGAGCGAAAGCUCAGCUCGAGCCAUAAAAAACACGGACCAGAAGAGUGUGCAGUUGCAAGAUUUAAUAGAGUGAAAACAGAGCUCCCAUAAAAUGGGAGGGGACACAAACGGGGUUGCCCUUCAUUCUGUUUUUCAUAAGGACUGUACUAAUUUACACUCCCACCAACAGUGAAUAAGGGUUCCAUUUUUUGCACGUCCUUGCCAACACAUCUUAUCUUCUGUGUUUUUGAUAGCAGUCAUUCUAAUAGGCGUGAAGUGGUAUCUCAUUGUGGUUUUAAUUUGCAUUUCCCUGAUGAUUUGUGAUGUUGAAUAUUUUUUUCAUAUACCUACUAGCCAUUCAUGUGUCUUCAUUUGAGAAAUUCUAUUCAAGUCAUCUGACCAGUUUUUAAUUAGGUUAUUUGCUUUCUUACUAUUGAGUUGUUUCAAUUCCUUAUAUAUUUUGGAUAUUAACCCCUUGUCAGAUGUUUGGUUUGCAAAUAUAUUUUCUCAUUCUGCAGGUUGUCUCCUUACUCUGUUCAUUAUUUUUGUAGUUAUGCAGAAGCUUUGUAGUUUGAUGUAAUCCCAGUUGUCCAAUUUUGCUUUUGUUGCUUGUCAUUUGGGGGCAUACCCAUAAUUGAUCUUAGCCAAAAGGCUGAGAAGUGAUUUCGGUCAUAUUAAAAAAUAUCAUUGCCAA
rnacentral:antisense_RNA from 1 species